GCCCUUAUAGCUCAGUGGUAGAGCGCAUCACUCGUAGUUCUGAGCUUAUGUUCUGCAAUGAUGAGGUCCGUUGUUCAAUCCAGCGUGGGGGCA
rfam:Neolentinus lepideus HHB14362 ss-1 unplaced genomic scaffold NEOLEscaffold_13, whole genome shotgun sequence.